rnacentral:lncRNA from 1 species
GAAUAUGUGAAAUAAAAUUUUAAACAUCUACAAAAAAAUACAUCUAUAUUUUAAGUUCUAUCAAAAUAAAUUAAAGUGGUUACAUAGAAAAUACAUUGAUUAUAACUUAUCACGACACUCUCACUAGGAGGUCCCCAAGCGAAUCGACAUGAGAGCUAGCAUUUGACACCCCAUCACGUAUAUAAGGAUGCUAAUCGCGUUGAAUCUACUAGAUCACUUACAUUUUCCGAAAGACCGACAAAAUGUGCCAAACCCUACUUUAAGACCCAGUAACCCGAUAGAUAGAGGAAAAUAUAAACUAUAUAAAUACUACUCUAAACAGGGCCGGCCUAAACUAUUUGAGUGCCUAAAGCAAAAAAAAUUUGGCCCAUUAGCAAAAGCUGUUAUAAAAAAAAAAUACAAGUUUUAACAUGUAUGGGAUUUGAAACCAUGACCUGUACAACAAAAAACUUCAAUCUAACCACUAGACCACAGUAACAUUUUAAAAAUUGAUGCCCCUAAAACUACUUAUAAUUAUUUGAUGCCUAAAGCCCUUGCUUCAUAGACUUUACCCAUGGGCCGGCCUUGACUCUAAACUAAACAUACCAUGAGAUAUUAAUCCGAGUAAAACAUCUGAAAAUAAGAGAAAGGAAUACGGAUAACAAACUUGACCACUAGAAACACUAAAGCAAACGUUGAAUUAUUCCCCGGGGUUCCUCUCUUAGAACAACCGCGCUUUGGAGGAUAUAAUUCGCAAAACACUAAUAUAUAAUUUUGAGUGGUUUUUCUAUCAUAAAAUGUAUAUUUUUCAUCGGCGGUUCUUUAAUGAUCUUCGGAAACAAGUUGCAGAUACCUAAAAUUCUGCAUGAACAAUAUGAAUUAUACGUGUACUAUUUGUUUUGCAUAGACAGAGACUAGAGUAUUCGAAUGUUGGACCUAAAAAAAAGAAGAGUAUUGGAAUCAUUUUAAACGGCUAUGAUAAUAUAAUAAUAUAACUUUUAUUGUAAUAAACAAAUGUGCAAACCUCGACUCCAUUAAAAAGACAAACAACGUUAAGAAAAGAAAUAAGAACAUUAAUGUGAAAAAGGACAG